GUCGAGAAUCUUCCGCAAUGGACGCAAGUCUGACGGAGCGACGCCGCGUGCGGGAUGAAGGUCUUUGGAUUGUAAACCGCUGUCACGCGUUAUGAAUGCGCGGCGGCUAACACCUGCCGCGUUGACAAAGGCGCGAGAGGAAGCCACGGCUAACUCUGUGCCAGCAGCCGCGGUAAUACAGAGGUGGCAAGCGUUGCUCGGUAUCACUGGGCUUAAAGGGCGCGUAGGCGGCGUGGUACGGCUCGGGUGAAAUCCCUCGGCCCAACCGAGGAAUUGCCCGGGCGACGGCCAUGCUCGACGGCAUCAGGGGACAGUGGAACUCCCGGUGGAGCGGUGAAAUGCGUAGAUAUCGGGAGGAACGCCGGUGGCGAAAGCGACUGUCUGGGGUGCUUGUGACGCUGAGGCGCGAAAGCUAGGGGAUCAAACGGGAUUAGAUACCCGAGUAGUCC
rnacentral:rRNA from 1 species